rnacentral:rRNA from 1 species
CACGUAGGGGACGAGCGUUGUCCGGAUUCAUUGGGCGUAAAGCGCGCGUAGGCGGCUCGGAAAGUCGGGCGUGAAAUGCCGGGGCUCAACCCCGGGCCUGCAUCCGAUACUGGCGGGCUCGAGGCAGGCAGGGGAGAGUGGAAUUCCUGGUGUAGCGGUGAAAUGCGCAGAUAUCAGGAGGAACACCCGUGGCUAAGGCGGUUCUCUAGUACGGUACUGACGCUGAGACGCGAAAGCGUGGGGAGCGAACAGG